rnacentral:rRNA from 1 species
UACGGGGGGGGCAAGCGUUGUUCGGAAUUACUGGGCGUAAAGCGCACGUAGUCGGCUUUGCAAGUCGGGUGUGAAAUCCCCGGGCUCAACCGAGGAACUGCGUCCGAUACUGGCAGGCUGGAAUCCGGGAGAGGGAUGUGGAAUUCCAGGUGUAGCGGUGAAAUGCGUAGAUAUCUGGAGGAACACCGGUGGCGAAGGCGGCAUCCUGGACCGGUAUUGACGCUGAGGCGCGAAAGCUAGGGGAGCAAACGGG